GACUUGAUUGAUUUUCACUCGAUCUACAAUCGGUCAUGAUAAGAUAGAAACGACAAAGGCGCCGAGUAAAGUAUUUUUCUAUCAGUUUGUGUUUUGUUCCUUAAAGCAGUGGGUCAAGAGACCGUCAACGCAUUGUCAAUAUGGAAAAAGAACCCAAGGACAGUUUCCAGGAUACAUCUAAAGAUGAGGAAGCGAUACAAAAA